rnacentral:rRNA from 1 species
GAUGAACGCUGGCGGCGUGCUUAACACAUGCAAGUCGAACGAGCCUUCGGGCUAGUGGCGGACGGGUGAGUAACGCGUGGGAAUCUGCCCUCAGGAGGGGGAUAACGGCCGGAAACGGCCGCUAAUACCCCAUAUGCCGAGAGGUGAAAUGAAUUUCGCCUGAGGAUGAGCCCGCGUCUGAUUAGCUAGUUGGUGGGGUAAUGGCCCACCAAGGCGACGAUCAGUAGCUGGUCUGAGAGGAUGAUCAGCCACACUGGGACUGAGACACGGCCCAGACUCCUACGGGAGGCAGCAGUGGGGAAUUUUCCGCAAUGGGCGAAAGCCUGACGGAGCAACGCCGCGUGAGGGAUGAAGGCCUCUGGGCUGUAAACCUCUUUUCUCAAGGAAGAAGACAUGACGGUACUUGAGGAAUAAGCCACGGCUAAUUCCGUGCCAGCAGCCGCGGUAAUACGGGAGUGGCAAGCGUUAUCCGGAAUUAUUGGGCGUAAAGCGUCCGCAGGCGGCCUUGUAAGUCUGUCGUUAAAGCGUGGAGCUUAACUCCAUUUCAGCGAUGGAAACUACAAGGCUUGAGUGUGGUAGGGGCAGAGGGAAUUCCCGGUGUAGCGGUGAAAUGCGUAGAUAUCGGGAAGAACACCAGUGGCGAAGGCGCUCUGCUGGGCCAUAACUGACGCUCAUGGACGAAAGCCAGGGGAGCGAAAGGGAUUAGAUACCCCUGUAGUCCUGGCCGUAAACGAUGAACACUAGGUGUCGGGGGAAUCGACCCCCUCGGUGUCGUAGCUAACGCGUUAAGUGUUCCGCCUGGGGAGUACGCACGCAAGUGUGAAACUCAAAGGAAUUGACGGGGGCCCGCACAAGCGGUGGAGUAUGUGGUUUAAUUCGAUGCAACGCGAAGAACCUUACCAGGGUUUGACAUCCUGCGAAUCCCUUGGAAACGAGGGAGUGCCUUCGGGAGCGCAGAGACAGGUGGUGCAUGGCUGUCGUCAGCUCGUGUCGUGAGAUGUUGGGUUAAGUCCCGCAACGAGCGCAACCCACGUCUUUAGUUGCCAGCAUUCAGUUGGGCACUCUAGAGAGACCGCCGGUGAUAAACCGGAGGAAGGUGUGGAUGACGUCAAGUCAUCAUGCCCCUUACAUCCUGGGCUACACACGUACUACAAUGCUACGGACAAAGGGUUGCAAGCUCGCGAGAGUUAGCUAAUCCCAUAAACCGUGGCUCAGUUCAGAUCGUAGGCUGCAACUCGCCUACGUGAAGGAGGAAUCGCUAGUAAUCGCAGGUCAGCAUACUGCGGUGAAUACGUUCCCGGGCCUUGUACACACCGCCCGUCACACCAUGGAAGUUGGCCAUGCCCGAAGUCGUUACUCCAACCCUUGUGGAGGAGGACGCCGAAGGUGGGGCUGAUGACUGGGGUGAAGUCGUAACAAGGUAGCCGUACCGGAAGGUGCGGCUGGAUCACCUCCUAACAGGGAGAC